GAGUCGAGGAAAGCCCUUGUACACAUAAAGCCGAUGCCGUAUGUGGAGACGUCAUCGAGUGAGUUUUGUGAAACCAUAGCAUUGAUUUGUCAUUUCAUAUAUAAUGUAAUUAAUUCCCGUUCAUUUUAACAACUGAAAAAUCUCAUCACAGGUUUUCGAUUAUGCAAGAACUGCAAGCAUCAGCAAAGGAAGUAAAAACAAAUACAUAUCAAGGUGAGAUAUUAAUUAAUUUAUCAUGUAUCGAUGUUCGAUCUGAUUAUUGACAUUGAUAUAUUAACCACCCCCACCCCCCCAAAAAAAACAAAACAAAAUAUAGACAAAAAAAAAAUACAAAAAAAAAACCAACCAAAGUACCAACAUUUUUAGUAUAAUUAUAAAAAUAAAGUAAGAACUUUCAGGUCGUGUUUUGUUUUGCAGACCCAUCAUCUCAGAAUGUAGUUCUUGUUACAUCACUUAUUCUUCUGACGUUUUUCACCCUCAUCACCACCGCCUUUGUGUUCCUACGCCGUGCCUACAGGCGCGCCUCCAUGCGACAAUGCAGUAAGUGGGACAGUACAUUAUAUUUAUUAUAUGUGGGUCAAGUAAUGGCAAACGUUGUGUGGUUUUAUAAAGGAACAUUCUGUUAUAUUGUAGUUGAGGACGCGAAAAAGAAAAGUGAAGACGAGGAGUCUCUUCAAUGUCUUAACAACUAUCAACCAAAGAACUCUCAGCCAUCAACUUCACCAGAGUCCACAGUACUCGAUAUACAUGUACCAACAGAAAACGAAGAGACGCGACCAAAGGAGAAAGCGCACAAUACAGGACCGAGUGCUCCACAGAACACUAUAAACAAUGAACCGAGGGGCAGAGUGCCAUCAUUGCACAUCAACUCCGAGUGUACCUCCGUAAAGACCCCCAAAUCAUCCAACAGUAGCUCCUGGAACCUGGGAGCGUCCGAUUUCCUGUCAGCGACGCCCGGGGGUGCGCAGUUCACCAUCGGGUACACGAAUCUCGCCCUCUCACGUUCACUCACCUGCCCGUCCAGCGACAGGUGUUCUGUACCUGGCGAUGAGGACGAAUCCCUGGAAAUGUUAUCUCAAUUUUCAUAUGUUUUAGAUUAAAAUAUUAGGCAUCAUAUAUUCAGAAUUUAUAUAAGAACACAAGAGUGAUAUUAUUUAUAUGUAUAUGUAUGCAUAGUUUAUAUGGUUCUAUUUUACCUGUAUUUACAACAGGUCACAUAAAUCAGGAUAUACUCUUGUAUGUAGUUUAUAGGUCUAUAUUUUUAUACGUUGGCUGUUUGAUAAAAUAUAGGCUUCAUGUUUUAUAUUUGCAUACAAUAUCAAUCAUUGCCUAAAUAAAUUCUAGAUCUAUG
rnacentral:misc_RNA from 1 species